CCGCCACAACGGCUUCCUGACGUGGCGGAGCAUUAAAACCGGAGCA
rnacentral:ncRNA from 1 species